CAGAGUAGAAACUGAUGCGUUUUACUAAACAUCGAUUGAAAUCAAGACAUCCGUUUUUUAUCGGAGUUUAGUAUAUAGUGUUUUCCAAACGGGGAGUUGUUGGAAAAACGAAAGGCAUUUGCCUGCGGUUGAGGUUUUGCAUCCCGCUGU
rnacentral:ncRNA from 1 species